UCGCUUACAGUAGUUUUAAUAGUUCUAAUAAUUUUGCUCUUAUUCCUAUUUGUUCCACAGACAAAGUUCAACUGGGAUCUCAAUUCUUGUUAACGACGAGGUACGACUACCUUAAAUAAUCUAUAACGCCACAGUUCGAACCCACCCUUCUUUAAGGGAGAUAAACCAUCUCAAAAAAGACAAAAAGGGCGUUUAUUUAAUCCUCUUCCAUCCCUCUAUAAAGCCACCCUCCCCUAAUUAUAUCGAGUUUAAAUUUCUAUAUUUAGCAAGGGUAUUGUCAUGGCGAAACUUCUAUUAAGCCCCGGGGGCAUAUGUAUUUCGGACACGCUAGGGGGUAACUUAUUGGAGUGGGGGAUGGCUUAUUGGGGAGGAACUUAAUAGAUAGGGGGCCCAUAUCUUGAUUUUACGAAACGGAUUAAGCAAGAAAUUUCAGGUAUAUCUAAUCAGUGCACAUGGGUAUGUUUGUUGUGAAGCGAGAGACACUACAUUCUUAGUAUGAAACCUUUCAAUUCACACGUUUCAGAUGGUGGCCAACCUUGCUGAUGAAAUGUCAUUUAUGGUGGAUGUUAUCAGAGGUAAGAUGUGAGACUUUCCUCCUGUCGUAACACUCAGUCUCGAGUUAACUUCCCAACGAAGGGCCUUCGCUCGAAACAUCGAAGUUCUGCUUACAGCUAAUUCAAAAAAGAUUGUCCUUUGCAAACCUUAAACUCUAAACCUUAAACUCUAAGCGCGCAAAGCUUAAUGGGAGCACAGGUUUCAAGCUUAUAGUAGUUGAGUAUUGCAUCUAUUUGUGAAUUAAUAGUUCUCGUAAGGAUAUAUUUACCAUGUCUUUAAGAAAUGGGCCACAUAUAUGAUUUCUAUACUGAUUAAAUAAGCUUUGCACGCUUAGAGUUUUAAGGUUUAGAGUUUAAGAUUUGCAAAUUAUAUAAGGACAACUUUUUUGAAUUUAUAGCUGUAUAUUUUUCAAGUAGUUUUAUGACUUGUAUCUCUCAAUCUGCAGCUGUCUAUCCCGAGUUAGCAUUUGAUCUAAUGCACUUUUCUUUUUAUUUCUUGUUAGACGAACACAAUAAUUUGUGGAGAAUUUUGCUAAAGUGAGGCUAAGAAAGACUCAAAUCUAUGUAAAUAUUCUAUACAGAGCAAAGUAUGGCAUAUCUCGGCUCUGGCCAGAAUAUGAAUUUCUGCAAAGUGUUUAUGAAGCAGUAGUCAAUUUCUAUCACCACUAAGAACGAUUUAAGAAAAGUCGUCAGAAAUCCAAAUGACAUCAACUAUAAUAUUACUAUAAUAUUUAAGUUGAUCUAGUUAAAACAUUCUUGAAGUCAUUUUACACUUUUCGAUGUCUUUUUGCUUAUUUCAGAUUGUUAUCUAGAUGCAGUGAAUAUACUGCGGAUUCAGGUAGACCGUGUUUAAUGCGAAUAGUUGUCGCGUUAGUAGGUAGAUUUUCAGACGUUUCUAAGGCUUGGCUUCAAUGUUUAUUUUCAAAAUUUAAACGUUGUAAUUACAACGGUUAAAUUUUGAAAAUAAGCAUUGAAGCCACGCCUUAGAAACGUCUGAAAAUCUGCCUAGAACGUCAUCAUACAACCGUUAAAACUAACGCGACAACUAUUCGCAUUAAACGGUCUACCUGAAUCCGCAGUAAUGUUGUUGCAGGGCAGACCAAAAAUUUUGAAAUGCUAAAAAUUCCAGCAGGAAGUUUCCAUCGAGAACAAAAAGUCGAAUCGAGAAGUAAUCUUGAGAAAGCGAAAAGUCAUAAAAUACAAUGAAAAAUAACAUUUGAAAAUCAGAACUCCGUAAUUUCUACUUAAUUUCUUCUGAGAAAAUGCCGUUUGAAACGAGAAUGCCCCGUAGCCGUGAAUCUAUUGCAUAGGUAACUUUUAAACCUUUUCGAAAUGUUAUACUUUCAUCUGAACGAGAGGAUAUAAAAUGUUUCGUAGACACUUCAAAAAUUCAAUCUGUGCCAAUACAUAUUUCACUGACCAUACAGAAAAUGCGAAAAACACAAGUUAAAGACGAGGAUCAAAGAUCAAUGUUUGUAUUUACUUUGUAUAAUGUAUGGUCGUUAAAGACAGUUUGUUCUAAAGCGUUCGAACAAUACUAACAGUAAUAUUAUAUAUAGUACACCCAACUAUUAAAAUAGCCCUUGACUGGUGACACUGGCUGAAUGGUUCAUUCCAUCCUAAGCAACGGCAUGCCUACUGUAACGGUUGUACCGUAGAAUUUCCACCACCCCCACUAUUGCUAUUUCGGUGUCUAAAUACAUUAAGAAAAAAGAAUCAAUGGCAUAAAGAAUAAAGGACUUCGCGUUUUGGAAAAGUGUGCCACUAUUUGUUUUAUUGGAGAGGUUCAGAUUUUGACUUCCGCUAGCGUCACAUCAGCCAAUCAAAUGUAUUUAAUAUACCCAAUUAACUGAUGAAAUGCGUAUUAAGCUUGUUGAGAGGUAGUGGAAGUCAAAUAAAAUCUGAACCUCUCUAAUAUCACCGAUACCAAAUCACUUUUGUUGGAUAAAUAUAUGCUUAAAAAGACCGCUUCCUGUAAACUCAAGGGCCAUGCAUUGUUAACAGGUGAUCCCUAUUAUCGCAAGGUGAUGUUAGGAGGGCAACGCCCAAACCUUUGGAGAUGUAGUCACCGUCAUAAUUUUAUAGUAAGAGGGGGGGGGAGCUGAUGUGCAUUCUGUUUAAAGGAUUAGUGCAUGUUAUUGUCUUUAUAUAAAUUUAUAUGAAACCAUAAUAUAACUAUAUAAGAAUGAUUUCCAUUUGGUUUAACUUUGGCUUAACAAAUUCAUGAUCGGCCAUGUUUGGUCAGUAGCUGAUGUACUUAUCUUCUUUUUAACGGUGUACUAUAAAAAACCCUGCCUUUAUUACAUGGACAUUCUGUAUUCAUUGACCACCAUGAAUAGCUUGCAUGGUCGCCUAGCCUACGGUGUAGACCCCAGCAGGAACACGUUUCGUGAGGGGUCUACGAAUAAACGAAGAAAAGCUUGCCCAGCCUACGUCACGAAACGUGUUUCUGCUGGGGUCUACACCGUAGGCUAAUGGUCGCCACGCUCAACUGGAAAACAGGCGUUGCGAGAUUACUAUUAGUCACGUGCUUAGCUCAGUUGGAUAACAGGAAAGCAUGUACCAGUAAUUACCAGUAAUAAUAAUAGACCAGCUUUGUUAGUCGUCGUCUUGUAUUAUUUAAUUGAAUGUACUGAGAUUUUUAUGAUCGAGGUCGUUCUAUGA